CUGAAUCUUUUACAAAGAUCCCCAUCUCUCUCCCCCUCACCUCCCCCCCCCUCCCUUUCCACCCACCACCGGUCACCCUCCUCGACCACCGUCGUCUGUCGCGGGCUGCCCUCACCCCCGUCUGCCAGGGUUGGAGAGCACGUACCCGGCGAAAGAAACGAGCAGACGAGGGGACGCGUCUCAAGGCGCGUUUCGUGCCGCCGACCGCACACACACGCACACGCGCACACGCUCUCGUGGUUGCUUCGCGUGCCUCUGCUUUACCUUUCUCUGUGGUUGCUGCCGUCUGUUGUCAUCUUCGUUUGAGGGGGCGGGGGGUGUCGAAGCUAAAGGUGCUGGAAGCGUCCCCAGCUCAGAGGUGAAGUGCAACGCCGUCACCGCCCUCUAUCUCUCCUGUAACUCCCUAACCAACCGCCGCGAAAGCCCCACCACCUUCUUCUUCGUCAAUCAUGUCGAGUGGGUACUACUCUUCUUGUGAGACGUGCAGCGACGGCAGUGGCGCGCCGGCGAGCGGGUCAUCCACGUUGCCUCCCACGCCACCGCCACCGCCGUCGUCUUCAUCCCUGCCGCAGCUGACCUCCGCGGAGCUCGCCGAGUUGCCGCCGGUGCCGAUGUCAUCGUCGUCGUAUCCCACCCCCUCACCAUCCUCUGCGGCCACCGAGUCGCAGCGCGGAUCUGUCGACGUCGACCGCGCGGGCAACCAGGGGAGUUCCAAGGGUGACGCGAGCAGUCCCUGCUGGGAAGAAGCAGAGGCGGAGCUGGACGAUGAUGUCGAGUACCACAGCGGCGACGGUGGCAGCGAGAGUGACGAGACGACUGCACGUGGCGCCUCUGGUGAACCGGUGGAUGCUCCGCUGAUGGUUCCCGAUUGGCUGCCGGACCCGCCGUUAUCAUCGUUGUCAUCGGUGUCGGCGUCGCAGCGCACGGACGAGGAAGGCGUCCAGCAGCGUGCCGCCUCUACUAUUCCGGACUCAGAGCAGAGUAGUCGUCAAGACGAAAACGUGCCGGCGGACGCGGCGAUGCUGCACGGGUGUGCAGACGGUGCAGAUGGCAGUACUGCUGCCUUCCGUGACGCUGGCGAGCAGGGGGUAGCGCACGAUUAUCGCGAAGCGGUGGUGAGCGACGCUGCUGUCACGGAAAACGAUAAUGAAGAAGAGUGGCGUCAAGGCGGUCGCGACGAAGCUGACGACGUCUCUGACGCAGCGGUCGCGGCCCGCGCCGCCUCCAUCACGUCCGAUGUGGUUGCAGAGAGCGUCUGGGCAUCUGAGGAGCGCGCCAGCGCCGCCUUGCAGCAGUUCAGCACCUCCCUGCACUCAAAGCUGGUCGAGCAGCUCAUCGAUGACGCGGUCGUGGCAGUGGAGCGCACGCUGCAGGACACGGUGCGGCAGCAUGAGUCGCGCGUGCGAGCCCUGAUGGCGCAGAAUAGGCUACUUGACCGCCAGCUGGCCGGUCAGGCGGUGCAGAUGCAGUCGAUUCGGAAAGACCUGGAAGACUCGAUACUGCGGGACUUACAACGUGUACUGCGCGUUGAUCUGCGACAGGCCUUCCGGUCGGCUAGCGCCGACCGCUCCAAUGGCAAAGAGGUCUCCGCGGAGUCCACGGCCCCGCCGUCACCGUCCUUGGGGCGCCGUCCCUCCCCCGACGCGCACUCCCCCAGCGCGGAAGAGGACGUGGCUGGCAGCAUCGGCAUGCAGCGGCGAUCGUGUGAGGGGUCGGUGUCUUCGACGUACGCGGUCGACGACAGUGCGCGGCCAUCUGUGGAAGAGCUCCUCGCCGCGUACGUCAACCAGCGCGGCACCCUCGAGCUGCUUCAGAAGGAACGCGCGCAAUGGUGGAAAAGCACGGCCGUCUUGCGAGACAGGUUGUUCGCCGCCACGCGUGAAGUUGUGCAGCUGCGGCAGGAGGUGGAGCGGCUUCAGACGACAACAGUGGAUGUGGCGGAGCACUGCGCCGUGGUGCAGGCAAGAGGGGAGGCAGAGCAUCAGUGUACUCUCAUGCAACUGCAGCUCGCCAAGCACAUCGAAGAGGCGGAGAUGAUGGAGGCGCUUGUGGAGAGGCGUGAGUUGGCGCAGUCGCAGCCCCCUGGCGCCGCAGAGGGCAACACGGGACAAGCAGCUUCGACGGGAGAUGUCACCGCCACUGCAACAGCAGCAGCAGCGAUGAACGAGGAGCUGCUUCGAAAGGGGCCGCAGUGGGACAUUGCGUUGCGUGAGCUGGAGGAGCAGGCCACCAUUGCGGCCAACAGUCGCCAGCUGCGUGAGCAACUCGCCAAAGCCGAGGAGGAGCUGCGGUCCUUGCAGAAAGACAGAGACGCGAGUGUCGCCUACGCGGCGGAGUUGAAGAAAGAAGGUGACGUGCUGCGGGCAGAUCUGCAGUCGAUGGUGUACCGCAACAGCGUGCUCUCCCAGCAAGUUGCGUCACUGCUUGUCAAGGUCGAGCACACAUGCCGCGCCAACCGGCAGCUGCAGGCCAUGCAGGCUCUAUCGCCUCCGCCGCAGCAGCAGGGGCCGCUCGACCAAUUAGGCGCAAAGAAGGCCAAGCGAUCUUUGUGUGCGCCCACCUCGUCGCGAUCGUCAUCCUCAACCUUCCCGGCGCCGUCCAACGAGCUGCUUUCGACUUUGCCGUCGCAGGCGGAGCGGCGCAGCGCGUGGCUGAGCGUGAUGUGGCCGUUGUCGAGGUCCGGCGGCAGUGACGCGGCAGCUGAGAAUCGACUCAAUACAGCAGUACUCUACGACCAGCAGAAGCAUCGGCAGCCGCCACCGUCGCCCCUCGCAUCUGCGGACGCCUCAAAGAUGUCCUCGCCGACGGAGGUGGAGGAGGGCGUGCAGCAGCGACUGAACACCUACGCCGCAUCACGCUUGGUGGCACCACAGCUGGGCAGCGGCGCCUCCCUUCAGCUUCCACGUCGACCGCGGCACGUCUCGCUACGGCAGCUCGGCAGCGCCACGCUCGAGGUCGACCGCGUGUGCAGUCCGCAUCUGCCGGCCAGUGAUCAGCUCAGCGGGUACGCGCUCGGACGUCCGUCGACGUUCUCAACAGUCGAUGUCGCGCGCGGGACGGUGACGCGCCAGGUGGGAUCGGAGGAGGUGACGGUUCUGCUCACCGGAGCAGCUGCCUCGUCCGCACACGGGUCGCCAUCACCAGCCACGCCGGACGACAGCAGAGCCGGUGACGUAGACGUGUGGACAUCAGCAGCGGCGGCGGCGUCGCCAUCGACGCGGCGCGUGCACAGCACAGACGACGUGAGUCGCGACCCGAACCUGCUACGUCUCCUGGACACCCUGGACAAGGACGAGAGCCUCGAUCGAUUCAGCGUGAACUCUGUCGCCGAGCUGGUUUUGCGGAACCAGGAGCUGGUAAAGCAGCUGUACGAGGCGACGCAGCGCGCCGAAGCGGCGGAGCGGCGGCGGCAGCAGCAGCAGCAAGGGGGUGUCUCUGCCUCUCAGUUGGAUGAGAAGGGGCCAUCGUUCGGGGUCAUGGCUGCCUCUGCCCGCGACCCAUCCGCGCCACUAGGCAGCGGCAUCGAUGCGAACUUCAACGCGGUGCCGGCAACGCUCACUUCCACCACUGCAGAACUGCUUCUGCGGGAGGGUGAUCCGAACUCGCGCAAGCGCGCCCGUGAUGGUGACGACGACGAUAGGAGCCAAGAGCGAGGAGACGCCGAGGGCGGCCGCCACGUCAGUGGCGACCAAAGCGAGAAUAAGGCGUCACAUCAGCAGGUCACCGACGGUGCAGGAGCAGACUCUGCUGCUGCUGCUGCUGUUGCAAUGACGGAGUCGUGGUUCACCAAGGACGCUAGCGACGCGGUUGCCAGCAUGAUUGAUGCGAUGGUGCGUCGGCGUGAUGUGCGGCUCACGUCUGCCGACACGGAGGUGUCGCGAGCGCUGAUCCAGGCGCUGGCAGCGCAGCGCGCCACAGACAACGCGGUGCAGCGGGCACGCACAAAUAGCGACGGUGUUCCAGGUACUGAGGUGGCCACGGAGAUUUCGCCGGAGACGGACUCGUUUUCUGUGGGCAUCUCCUCGCGAGCGUUGUCUUCGUGUCUGCACAGCCUCGCGCACCUUUGUCUAGAGCAGUCUUCCGCGCUGGUGGUGUUGGCACGGAAGGCCGAGCAUCAGAACGAAGAGAUGCAGAAAGCCGUCAAGAACACAUGGACAGAGGUGCAGCAGGUGCUUCUCGCCGCGCUGCAGACCUCGCGCGCUGCGCUUGCCUCAUCCACCUCGGCGUCCGACGACAAUGCGGCCACCAGCGCUCCUCGUCUCUCGCGUCAGCGCGUGCGGCUAGAGGGAGGUGCGGCGGACAGCAGCUCUGUCGUGGGCAACGAAGGUGGCGCUCAAAGAGACGGCCGCCACGAGUUCCGCCCCGAGGAACAGGUUGCACUCCUCCAGCAGCUCCGCACGCUGCUGCACACGGCCGCAAAAAAGGACGAGACUCUCCUGCAUGUCUACCAGGCUGCACAGGCACGCAAAGAUGCGCGGCAGCACCAGGAGAAGGAGCGUGUGGCGCGCCUGCUGCUGAAACUGGAGCGGAAACGGCGCCUCAUCAAGGCCUUGCAGCUUCGGCACGCGAACAUGAACGUGGUGGCCGCUGUCGGUGCCGACCCCGGCGCACGUGGGCUCAGUCACCCCUCCCCGCUCGACUGCGAAAACUCGCAGGGUGCCGUGGCGGCCGGCUUUCGCCUUUCCCCGCAGCCGGGCUCGCCCGCCCGACGGACGCCGCCGAUGCCGCCGAUGGUGUUGCCCGCUGCCAGCACGACCGACGCUGGCGACGAGCGCCGUGGCGACGACGACUGCGACCGGGCCAGUAGCGUGGACAGUGGCAGCAGCCACCCUCACCGCAGCUACCGCGAUCCGCACGGCCGCGAUGACGAUGACGGUGACAGCGACGACGAGCUUGACGACGAGAUCCUGACACUAGACAUCUUCCGCGAGCUUCAGCAGCAGCUCGCCCUGAGCCAAGCGAGCCAUCAAGCUGCGCAGGAAGAGCUCGACGCGGAGAAGACGAAGCACGCGGCGCUGCUGGAGCGCAUGUGGGUGCUGGAGGCGGCUCGCGACGACGCCGUAGCCGUGGCCGAGCGUCUUGAGAAGCGCGUGAGCGAAAUGCUCACUCGGGAAGAGUACCAGGCGGCGGUGGCCGAGCUGGAGGUGGCCGCUGCCUCCCUUAAGGAACUGAAUACGGAGCUGAGCAACGCCAAGGCGGCACACCUCGAGUCGCAGGAGCAGGUGGAGGAUCUCAAGCGGCAGCUGGAGACCCAGCGGCGGGAGACAGAGCUUCAGCACCUCGAGGCGGAGGAUGCGAUGCGUAAGCGUGAGCAACGCCUGCGUAGCGAGGAGGUCCGGUUCCGACAGCUGCAUGAGCAACUGAAAGAUUUGAAGCAUUACGCGGCAGGCCUCGAGAAAGCUAUCGCACUCGCGCGGAAAGAGGUGUGCGAUCAGCAAGAGCGAGUCCGUCACAAGGACUCCACGAUUGAGGAGCUCAAGGCGCAGAUGCUGAUGCGUGACGACGUGCAGGAGCUGCUCUGUCGGCUCUACCCCAACCACAGUGUGCUGCACGCGAAUGCGGAGCUUGUACGCGGUUUGUCGGAGACCACGGCACGCCUGCAACAGGAGCUGGCAGAGACGCGGCAGGACCUUGCUCACGUGCGCGAAGAGCUGCAGCAGCGCGAGCUCAGCGCGCGGGAGGCGGUGCAGGACCGUCAAGCGGCAGAGGUGCGCCUGCAGGACGCACUUGCACGGCUUGCGGUGCUGCAAGAGCCCGACGACAGCGGCGAUGCGGAGCAGCGCAGCCCGGGAGAGACGGCCGCCACGCGCGGCACGACGCACCCGCAGCCUGCGGGUGCCGCGUCCCGUAUGGCGGCGCUCUUUAACGUCGACGAAGCCUCUCUCACCGCCCUGCGCCAGCGUGUGCGCUACCUCCACGCGUGCGUCGAGGCGCAGGCGAAGGACAUCGCCGUCCUGCGCUCCGCCGAGUCCUCGUGGAAGCAGCGCGAGAUCGAUCUGCGCAAGCAGCUGGAAGUGAUGAGCGCGGACCCGGUGAGCCUGACGGCGCGCCGAUACGGCCUCUCCGCCUGCUUGAGCUUCGAGGAGCAGCUGGACGAGAUGCAGGCUCGACAGGACGCUCUUGAGAGCUCAAGAGCGCAGCUCCAGGAAGAGAAGGACGCUAUCGCUGUCAUGGUUCAGGAACACGCGAAGGCCGCCGCUGUAGCGCAGGGUGCCGCAGAUGCGGCACAGACGGUGGUGGAGCGCACCACGGCGCAGCUGACGUCCGCGACGGAGAAGUGCGCUGCGCUAAGCUCAGCCAUCACACGGCUGGAAAGCGAGCGGGACGAGGAGUCAUCGAAGCGCGUAGAUCUCGAGCGGCGGUACGAGCAGGCGCUAUCGGAGCUGGCGGACACGAAGCGCGGCCUCAGCGCAGUGCAGGAGUCCUUGGAGGCUACCGUGACGCAGCGUGACCACUUCUGGAAGGACAACAACCUUCUCAUCAGCAAGGUGGAGGAACUGGAAAAGGCGCUGCUGCAGUCCGACGCCGAGAAGCGCGCUGCCCGGGAGGCUCUGGCGCAGGGGCUGUCGGCGUCGUCGGCAUCUGCGUCUCGGCGGCGUCGCGGCGGCGACAGUGGUGCCGCCGAUCGCUAUCGCCGGCAGGCAUCCCUGACGCAGGACCUCAGCCUUUCCUCGCUCUCAGCUCGGCCGUCGUGAGAGCGCGUGCAGUUGACGGUAUCGGUUGCCAACACGCCUGAGAAGAGGACCUGCACACACACACACAUACAAGCAUGUACUCUCUCUCCCUCUGAUGCCUAUGGUGGUGGCGGAUGUUGGUGCCUUGGUGCGUGCUGGCAGUCGCCGGCGUGCGUUGUUGUGUGUGGUGUCGGUGAUGUCGUGUAUUGUCGGGGCGCGCUUGCGUGUGCCUACGGCCACCUCCGGCCUAAUACAAGUACAAAAAGACACAUGCUGUGCGUGGUGGGCCACAGCACCAUGUACAGGCAAGCGCAAGCGCAUCAACAAGCCGCGUGAGUAAACCGGAAGCGAAGGGUGGUGAGUGGGGGGGGGGGGAAUGAUCCGCGAGGUGCACACCGCGGGUUCCAUGCACCCCGUGUCCCCACUGCCGAUACGACCACCCCCUAUCCAACCUUCUGUGAUGGCGUUUCUUGGGUGGACGCGUUUGACGG
rnacentral:misc_RNA from 1 species